rnacentral:lncRNA from 1 species
GUCCCCGGCGUCCGGGCGCCCUGCAUGGAUCCCCCACCCCAGCUCCUGCUCCCCGGCGGCGGCCGGUGGGCAGAAAGACCGAAACCCACUCACGGCCGCCUGCCGAAUCGCGGCUCUGCUGUUUGUGGGGCGUGCUAGAAACGUGGUCCUAAAAAGAAUGGCGUCCAUUUACAUAAUGCUUUGUUUGCGUUUCGCAAGUUUCUUUCGGUUAAAGCCACAGAAACCCCACCUCCUGCCCUUGUGUCGUUUCCACCGCGGCACCCUUUUCCGACAUUAGAAACAAUAGUGUACGCCUGUGGAGGCCUCGUUUGUUCAGGGGCUGCCGGCCAGGGCUUCAGGACGUUUCUGCGGCUUUCCCCGCGCGGCCUGGGCUCCCGCGGCUGCUUUUCGGGCCCAUGGGCGCAGCCACUGCGCCAGGCUCAAGGGGGGCGGCCCCGUCAGGGCCCGCCAUCUUGGAAGGCCUUUUUUGCCGGUUCUUCCCGCUGAGGAAGUGUCGCUCAAGACGCUGGCCUAUGAGUUGUGAUUUCUGCCUUUUCCCCUUCCUCCUUGGGCUAAGCCAGACCAGAAAGGGCCCCGUGCGCAACGUGCUUCACAAUCUCUCAGGGAAAGCGGCUAACGUGGCGCUACUCCGCCUCCCCUGUUCCUUACCCUUGGGGCGGCCGCCAUGUUUCCUGAACACAAAAUGGCGACACGUGGUUAGCAUUCGUCGCCAACGAGAAAUUGGGGUCGGCCCGAAAGCUCUAGAAUGCACCCCUCUUCCUCCCCGGGGCCUUCCACCUCCGCGAGUUUUAUGACUUAAAAAAGCCCACAGGCUGGUCUGAAGGUCGGAGGCCUAAUUUUAACGCGUUUUCCUCCCUUUAAUUUGAAACGGGAACGCGAAUGACUGUAAAAUGUGGGCACAAUAUUUAAUCUCUCGCCUUUUUAAAGCUUAAUAGUGGAUAAUAGGGGGGCAGUAUCAAGGGAUAAUUUGGGUCCCCACAGUACCAAAGCAUUUAGAAACCUCUGUUUAAUUUAAGGAAUGAGAUAAGUUACUGCUUUUCUAGACUUCCUAGCAUGGGCUGUUGUGCUGGAGAGAACGAGAGCUACGAAGAGACUACAGUGCCUCUGACUUUUUCAUAGGACAGUUGGCCGAGGAAGACAAACAUAAAGAUGAAGUGCUUAAUUCAAGGUCACACAAUGUCGGGGAUGGACCUCCAGAUUUCCUUACUGACCUGCAUUAUCUUGUGGAUACCUGAGUGAAUUCCACACCACCCAUUUUAUAGAUGAAACCACUGAGACAUGGAGCAAUUGACUGAGUAGUCACUGCCCCACCCCUGCCUGGAGCCUCACACAUGACUCGCCUCCUCUCAGUGACCACAGGAAAACAAGCUCAGGGCUCCCACUGAUUGUACAUUAUGGUGAGACGUGGUCUUGUAACACAGUGGUUAAGAAUGUGACUUUGGAGCCAGCCUGCUAGGGGCUGAAUUCUGACUCAGCCAUUUACUAACUGUGUGACCUUAGGCUGGAGUGCAAUGGCAUGAUCUCGGCUCAUCACAACCUCUGCUUCCUGGGUUCAAGCGAUUCUCCUGCCUCAGCCUCCCGAGUACCUGGGACUACAGGCACUCGCCACCAUGCCCGGCUGAUUUUUGUAUUUUUAAUAGAGAUGGUUUCACUAUGUUGGCCAGGCUGGUCUCGAACUCCUGACCUUGUGAUCUGCCCACCUCAGCCUCGAAAAGUGCUGGGAUUACAGGCGUGAGCCACUGCGCCCAGCCUUGUAUUUUUUUUCAGUUUGGGUAGCUGUCCCUAAUUCAUUUGUUAAAGGAGAAGCAAGAGCAAGAACCUUUAAUCUGUUCUCCUCUUCCCUAAUUUGAAAGUAGCUUGUUAUUUUGAAUAUCACUUUCUCUGAAAUAGCACAUCUCCAUCUCAGAGAAUGGAUUUAAUGUUUGGAUACAGCCAAAAGUCAUUUCAUUACCAAACCAUGGGGUGAAUAUACCAUGUAAAGCAGUUUGGGAUCAGAACUCACAGUCUGAAUUGUAAGUGAUGAGACUGCUGUCUCUCUGCUACAGCUUCUUGGCUGGCUCUGAAGGCUCUUUGAAGGCAGAUCCUAACAAGGGGACUGCUUUGAAGGGCCAUUGUUCAUUUGGAAUGAUAAAGUCUAUGUUGUUCAAAAAACAAAUGCUUGUAGCAGGUAUUUUUUCACUCCAGACUGAGAAUAUUGGUGGGAUAUUGAUAAGGGGUACUGAAUGGUAAUAAACAUGUGCUCUAGCUCUGUGCUAGUCAGCUUAUUUCAGAACUCUAGUUUGAUUCAGUUUCUUGCCUCUGACUCAAAAUGGAGGGAGAGUGAUUUUUACAUAAGAGAACACACCCACAUAUCCUUUUGGCAGCAGCUACCUGCCAGAGAUGUUGAAGAAGAGUAGCCAACCUUUACACAGCAGAUAUUGUGUGCCAGUCAUAGUCCUAAGUAUAAUACCUUACAUGUAUAAACUUCUUAUAAGGUUGGUGCUCUGUACCGAAUUGAAUAGUAUCCCCCAAAAUUCAUGUUGUCCCAGAACCUAUGAAAGUGAUCUUACUUGAGGGAGGGGGGAGGGGGGAGGGAUAGCAUUAGGAGAUAUACCUAAUGCUAAAUGACGAGUUAAUGGGUGUAGCACACCAGCAUGGCACAUGUAUACAUAUGUAACUAACCUGCACAUUGUGCACAUGUACCCUAAAACUUAAAGUAUAAUAAUAAUAAAAUAAAAAAAAAAAAGAAAGUGAUCUUACUUGGAAAUAAGGUCUUUGCACAUAUGAUCAAGUUGAGAUGAAGUUGUACUGGAAAGUCUGUCUAGUGACUGGUGUUGUCAUAAGAAGAGAGGGACACAGAGGGAAGAUGGCCACAUGAAGAUGGAGGCAGAGAUUGCAGUUAUGCUGCUGCAAACUAAGGAAUGGCUCUGGCCCUCCAAGGAUUGCUGAUAACCACCAGAAACUAGAAGAGACAAGGAAGGAUUCUUCCCUAGAGCCUUCAGAGGGAGCAUGGCCCUACUGACACCUGGAUUUCAAACUUGUAGCUUCCUAAACUGCAAGAGAAUAAAUUUCUGUUGUUUUAAGCCA